UACGGGGGGAGCAAGCGUUGUUCGGAUUUACUGGGCGUAAAGGGCGCGUAGGCGGUCAGCACAAGUCAGUUGUGAAAUCUCCGGGCUUAACUCGGAAAGGUCAACUGAUACUGUGCGACUAGAGUGCAGAAGGGGGCAACUGGAAUUCUCGGUGUAGCGGUGAAAUGCGUAGAUAUCGAGAGGAACACCUGCGGCGAAGGCGGGUUGCUGGGCUGACACUGACGCUGAUGCGCGAAAGCCAGGGGAGGCGAACGGGG
rnacentral:rRNA from 1 species